CCCCCCUCAAGAUGAGAUUUCCCAUAGCGUAAGCUAGUAAGAUCCCUGAAAGAUGAUCAGGUUGAUAGGUUCGAGGUGGAAGCAUGGUGACAUGUGGAGCUGACGAAUACUAAUAGAUCGAGGACUUAACCAUAUAAUAUGUA
rnacentral:rRNA from 1 species